rnacentral:rRNA from 1 species
GAUCCUGGCUCAGGACGAACGCUGGCGGCGUGCUUAACACACGCAAGUCGAACGGACGAGCACCCUUCGGGGUGUAAGUUAGCGGCGGACGGGUGAGUAACGCGUGAGUAACCUGCCUUGGAGUGGGGGAUAACACAGGGAAACUUGUGCUAAUACCGCAUAAGAUCAUAGGGUGGCAUCAUCUAGUGAUCAAAGAUUUAUUGCUCCAAGAUGGGCUCGCGUCCGAUUAGAUAGUUGGUGAGGUAAAGG